rnacentral:rRNA from 1 species
GACGAACGCUGGCGGCGUGCCUAACACAUGCAAGUCGAACGGAGCAGAUCCCUUCGGGGAACACUUAGUGGCGGACUGGUGAGUAACGCGUGAGGAACCUGCCUUUCAGAGGGGGACAACAGUUGGAAACGACUGCUAAUACCGCAUGACACAUUGAGGGGGCAUCCCUUUGAUGUCAAAGAUUUAUCGCUGAAAGAUGGCCUCGCGUCCCAUUAGCUAGUUGGUGGGGUAAAGGCCUACCAAGGCGACGAUCAGUAGCCGAGCUGAGAGGCUCAACGGCCACAUUGGGACUGAGAUACGGCCCAG